ACUCAAAUAUUAGAAGUAAAUUACGUGACAUGGAGUCAGGGAUGGGUAUUGAAUGCAAGUCUUUGGCCAUGCGUCAGAUUCACAGAAAUUCUGAAUAUAUUUAUUUUAUUUUCUUGAGUACUUAUCAAGAAAAUAUUUUUUUAACUGAGUAAAUAGAGUCGAGGUGACAUAAGCAUUCCAUAUAUUAUAUUAGAGAUCUUAUGCA
rnacentral:lncRNA from 1 species